rnacentral:rRNA from 1 species
GACGAACGCUGGCGGCGUGCUUAACACAUGCAAGUCGAACGGAAAGGCCCUGCUUUUGUGGGGUGCUCGAGUGGCGAACGGGUGAGUAACACGUGAGUAACCUGCCCUUGACUUUGGGAUAACUUCAGGAAACUGGGGCUAAUACCGGAUAGGAGCUCCUGCUGCAUGGUGGGGGUUGGAAAGUUUCGGCGGUUGGGGAUGGGCUCGCGGCUUAUCAGCUUGUUGGUGGGGUAGUGGCUUACCAAGGCUUUGACGGGUAGCCGGCCUGAGAGGGUGACCGGCCACAUGGGAACUAGGAAAGGGCCCGAACUCCUACGGAGGCAGCAGUGGGGAAUAUUGCACAAUGGGCGGAAGCCUGAUGCAGCAACGCCGCGUGCGGGAUGACGGCCUUCGGGUUGUAAACCGCUUUCGCCUGUGACGAAGCGUGAGUGACGGUAAUGGGUAAAGAAGCACCGGCUAACUACGUG